CCGUAGGAGCACACAUAUCAAUCAUAAGGUUAGGUUAACUUCAGUCGAAGCACACAUAUCAAUUAUCAAUCAUAAAGUUAGGUUCACUGUUCAGGUCGAAGCUCGAGCGAGAAAAUUAUGAUUGCAAUUGGAAAUCCAAAAUUCAACCUGUACAUAACUAAAAUUAAAUUAAUAGUUUUGGACAAACAAAAUUAUUGAUUAAACCCAGUUUACUCCUCCAAAUGCUUACCCAAAAUUUUCACUUCACAACCUGGAUGGAAAACCACAAAUCGAUUCAAGAACUUCUCCAAAGGGAACCUUCAGACCAAGGAAAAGCCCCAACUUUAACCCUCAAAUUAUCCUUAAAUUUAGUUCUGUAAUGGGUGGUGAAACCCAAAACAAGACUUCACUAAUUGCCGAAAAACUCACCCAAAACCCACCGGGGAGGAGAUUGGACAGAGGGAAGAUCGGCGCAGCGGGGCUCGGCGUUGGAGGAGAAGCUCGGCUCGCUCACGGCGUGCGGCCCGGAGAAAGAGAUGGCGCGGCUCACAGCGUGGAGACGUCGUCGCUCACGGCUACUUGACAGACGGUCGGCGGCGUGUGGGCGAAGCGGCUGGACGUGGUGUCGUGGGAGGGAGUUGAACGGCCAGAAGCAAUAGUGAGCGUCGUUCAGCGUGAGGAAGAAGAAGGAAAUUUCCUAAUUUCUACUCUCUUUUAUUCAAUUGCACGUUACCCUAACAAACCCUACCUUUUAAAACAAAUAAACAAUCAUAACAAUAAUGAAAACCACUUUCAUUAGAAAAAUGAUUGAAAAGGCAAAUCUGCUAAGAAUAUAUACAACAUCCAAGCUAAUUAAAUUAGAAAUUACCUUGAAUUUUGGAAUGUUACAAAUUUGCAAUAUGUUCUUUUGUUUAUGGUCCUCCUUUUCAUUAUUCUUCUUCUCCUCUCAAAUCAAAGAUGGAAGCUAGAAUGUGAAUUAGAGUAAGAAGAAGAAGCAAGAGAGAGUGGAAGAACAAGAAUCAAACACAAAGAAGAAAAUGAGAAACAAUGCAGAUUUGGUAAGGAAAAAAGAUGGAAGAAGCGCAGUGGAAGGAACAAAACUUCAUGGAAUUAUUAGGGCCUCGCAUGCUUUUCAUUAAGUCCCUGGAAAGAGAUCAUCUGUGUAAACUUCCUUUAAUUUCUUUUAAUUUUUUUUUAAGAGUAAAGAUUU
rnacentral:lncRNA from 1 species